AUACGUAGGGGGCGAGCGUUGUCCGGAAUGAUUGGGCGUAAAGGGCGCGUAGGCGGCUUUGCAAGUCAGUAGUGGAAGUCCAUUUUUCAAGGAUGGAAGUGCUACAGAAACUGCGGAGCUUGAGUGCAGGAGAGGUUAUCGGAAUUCCCGGUGUAGCGGUGAAAUGCGUAGAGAUCGGGAGGAACACCAGUGGCGAAGGCGGGUAACUGGACUGCAACUGACGCUGAGGCGCGAAAGUGUGGGGAGCAAACAGGAUUAGAUACCCUGGUAGUCCACACUGUAAACGAUGAAUGCUAGGUGUAGGAGGUAUCGACCCCUUCUGUGCCGCAGUAAACACAGUAAGCAUUCCGCCUG
rnacentral:rRNA from 1 species